rnacentral:rRNA from 1 species
AACGUAGGAGACAAACGUUAUCCGGAGUUACUGGGCGUAAAGGGCGUGCAGGUGGUCUGUUAAGUCUGGCGUGAAAGCUCCUGGCUAAACCGGGAGAGGUCGUUGGAUACUGGCGGACUAGAGGACGGUAGAGGCGUGUGGAAUUCCGGGUGUAGUGGUGAAAUGCGUAGAGAUCCGGAGGAACACCAGUGGCGAAGGCGACACGCUGGGCCGUACCUGACACUGAUGCGCGACAGCAUGGGGAGCAAACAGG